rnacentral:lncRNA from 1 species
UAAAAAAGACAUGGAAGUUUGCCUUGUAAUUAGAGAUUUGGUUUCAUUGCUUGUUGUUGGGUUAUUAAUGAUAUGGGGAUGGAGAACUUUAAACUGGGUAUGGCUGGCCCCAAAAAGGCUCGAAAGCUGCUUGAGACAACAGGGUUUUGCAGGGAAUCCUUACAGGUUCCUUUCUGGUGACAUAAAAGAGCUCUUCACUAUGAGCAGACAAACAAGAGCCAAACCAAUGCCUCUUAGUGAUGAUAUUGGGCCUUAUGUUGUUCCUUUUCAACAUCAAACUGCUAACCAGUAUGGUAUGUUUUUUUUAUUUAAUCUGCAAAUUAUGAUAAUUCUUUGUUAUUUAUGUAUGGAAUUUAUUGGGAGGAAAUGCAGGAAAGAAUUCAUUUACGUGGUUUGGUCCAAGACCAAGGGUGAACAUUACGGACCCUGAAAAAAUAAGAGAAAUACUUAACAAAUUUAAUGACUUCCAGAAGAUACGUACCAAUCCUCUGCUUAAUUUGCUUGUAAGCGGCCUUGUUAACCUCGAAGGAGACCGAUGGAGCAAGCGUAGAAAAAUCAUAAACCCUGCAUUUCAUCAAGAUAAGUUGAAGGUAUAGAAUAGUGAUGGGUAAUCAGACUUUACAGAAAACAUCAUACUUAAACCAAUGCUUUUCUGAUUUAGAAAUAAUUGGAUGCAGAAUAUGUUGCCAGCAUUUUAUCAAAGUUGUAGUGACAUGUUAAGCAAAUGGGAGAAGAUGGUGUGUACAGAAGGAUACAGUGAGUUAGAUGUGAGGCCUUAUCUCGUAGAUUUGACAAGAGAUGUGAUUUCCCGAUCUGCUUUUGGAAGCAGCUUCGAAGAAGGCAAACGAAUUUUCCAAUUACUAGAGGACCAACUCGUUCUCACAAUCAAAUUAAUACAAACUGUUUACAUUCCAGGAUGGAGGUAACCGUCAACUUAAUUUACUUGAAAAAGGUUGCAAAUCUUGGAAUUGGCUAAAUUCGUGUUUGUUUUCUUGAAGGUUUUUGCCAACGAAGACAAACAGGGAGAUGAAGAUGAAACACAGAGACAUAAAAGAGUCGCUUAGGGAAAUGAUAAAGAGAAGGGAGAAGGCAAUUAAAGCAGGGGAAGAGAGCAAUGAGGACUUGUUGGACAUACUUGUGGAAUCCAAUAUCAGAGAAAUGGAAGCAAAGAAUAUGGGGAUGAGCAUUGAGGAUGUGAUUGAGGAAUGCAAGCUGUUUUACUUUGCUGGCCAAGAGACCACUUCGGUCUUACUGGUGUGGACUAUGGUUUUAUUAGCAAGGUAUCCCGAUUGGCAAAGUAAAGCAAGAGAGGAGGUUUUGCAUGUUUUGGGUGACAAUAAACCUGAUGCUGAUGGCCUUAAUCGUCUCAAAGUUGUAAGUCCCUAGCAUGUCUUUUGAAGGUCCGAUCAAUGAGGUCGACAACUCAAAAACUUUGUUUCUUUUUUCGCUAAUUCUACAGGUAACGAUGAUAUUGUACGAGGUUCUAAGGCUGUACCCACCGGUGGUUGAGCUAGGACGUUCCGUUCCAAAAGAAAUAAAACUGGGGAAUUUGUUGUUACCAGUAGGAACAGAAGUUUCGGUUCCGAUCCUGCAGAUCCACCAUGACAAAGAUCUUUGGGGUAACGACGCACGGGAAUUUAAGCCAGAGCGGUUCGCGGAAGGGGUUUCCAAAGCAACAAAGAGUCAAGUCACGUUUCUGCCAUUCGGAUGGGGUCCUAGGAUCUGUAUUGGCCAAAAUUUUGCUUUGAUGGAAGCCAAAAUGGCGAUGGCUAUGAUUCUCCAACGCUUCUGGUUCGAGCUUUCCCCUUCCUAUGCUCACUCUCCUUACAGCAGGGGAACUCUUCGUCCACAGCAUGGUGCACAGAUAAUUUUACAUAAACUUGGCUGUAAUUGAAUUGUUAUGUAAACAAAUCUUUGUGAAAACAUAGCGUUUUAGUGUAUCGUCAAAGUCCGGUGUCUGUAAUGGUACAAAUUCGAUGCAUGAAUAGUAAAUUUUGAGAUGUUUGGUGAAGUCCGAAAUAAUAUGCAGAAAUUGAGCGUCUAUGGUGGACAUAGUUGAGGGACUAAUGUGGUAAUUAUCAAUCAAAUAAUUCGGUACAAAGACUUGUAUGGAAAUUAAAGCAGGGGGAGUUGAAAAUGACUACUCUGCUUUGGGCAUCAAUUUAGAAAGAUUUAAAGUACAACUGUGUUAUCAGUUAAGGGAUUUGUUUUAAAGAGGGAAUGACAAUUAAACCUCAUGGUUUAUUUGUGCAAGGGAACCGAUGAUGGGAUGAUUAUUCUUAGUGGUAAAAAAAACCAUUAUGGAGGUUAUUACACUUGUUAUCAUCAGCUUAAAAUUCGAAUGGGUUCAAGUCGGAUUAUAUCGAGCUUGUAAGAUGAGUUCACGGACCAAGUUUGCAUAAUAAAAUACCUAAAUGAAAAAAAAUUCUAUUUUAGAGGGACGAGAGCCCCUAUCAACUCCCGGCUCAGCCACUAAACAAUACCUAUAUCAUAUAAAUAAAUACCACCAUCUAAAAGACUCAAAGAAAAACACUCAACAAAGGAUAAAUAGAUAGAUGUUGGAUAAGUGUCCAAAAUAUGAUUUAAGUGAAGAUACAUGUGGUAGGUGUUACGGAAAUGUGAAGACAAGAAUCCCACUAACGUAUGGGAUGUGUGCAGUUGAAUGUAGGGAGCAAAAAGAGGAGUGAAUCAUUUUGGUAACAUUUGGACAAGAAACAUAAUGAACAAAAUGGAAGGAGAGGAAGCUAGUAAAAGAAUUUUUUUGGGUCAUAUAAUUUGUUCAUUUUGGAGUUGAAUUAUAAUUUUUUUAUAUAUUAUUUUAAAAUUUUAAGGAGUUAAAACAAAAUUAUUUUAUUUUCAGAUGGUCAAAGUAGAGGUGAUAAUGGGUUGGGCUAUUCGGCCCGGCCUGACGAUUCACUCGAAAAAUAGGAGGGUUUAGGUAAAAAUAUAGGCUCGAAAUAGGGAUUUGAGCAAAAAAAGAGUCCCGUUUAGAAAAUGGGCCAGGCCUCGGGUAAAAUUUUUUGGGCCCAAGCCUGACCUGAAUUAUAUAUUAAAUAUAUUUUUUAAUUUUUAAUCAAAUAUACUUUUUUUUAUUAAUUUGGUUAUUAUUUUAGUUCUAAUUUGUUUCAAUUUUAAUAUAACCACUUUUUAUUAUAUUUUCAAUUUGUGUAUUGUUUUAAGAAUUGUUUUAGUCUCAUUUUUUUAUUUAUUUUUUGUUUUAAUAAUUGUUUUAAAAAUUUUUAUUUAAUGAAAUAAGCUAAAAAAAUUAAUAUGGGCUUGGCCAGGCCAGGCUCGGGCCUAGUAAUUUUCUUUUGGGCCGGACUUAGAUAAAAUUUUAAGCCCAUAUUUUAAAUUGGGUCCUAACCUAAAAAAUGAACCUAAAAUUUUAUAUGGGCCCGACUUGGCCCUUGAUUACCUUUAGGUCAGAGCUAUCCUCGUUUUGCAUUUCUUUGAGAUUCAGCCUUAUCUACUGUGAUUGCCCACUCAAUUGAGGGUUGAGUAGAAAGAUUUGGUGAAGCAAGCUAAGCUAUCAAUCAAGGUUUGCAUAAUUAUUUAAAUGUAAUUCUAAUAUUAAAAUAAUUUUUUUAUUAAUAUAGUAUCAACAAGCAUUAAAUGUAAUGAUCAUAUACUAUUACAUUUUAAAGAAGAGAAAACAUGUUUGAACUUUAAAAACCACGUUACUAAAAACAUUAUCACAAACCUUGAAAUAUAAAAAAUAAUUUUUUUAAUAUAAUAAAAAAUUAAUUUUAAACCCGAGCUGAAUAAAAUUCUAAUUUUAGUUAAUGAUACGAACAACAAAUCAAUAUUCUAAGCCCGAGCCCUGCUCAUUUUUUUAAUAAACACCAAAAAUUUAUUUUGAAAAUAAAAAAUAAAAAAAAUAUUUUAAAAAUAUUUUAAAAAUAAAAAAAAUUAAAAAUAAAUAUUUAUUAUAUAUUCAGGCCGGGCCGGGCUAGCCUUGGGCUAAAAAAAUGGUGCCCGAGGCCCGGCCCAUUUUCUAAAUAGGCCUCAUUUUUUGUCCAAACCCAUAUUUUGGGCCUAUAUUUUUACCCGAACCUCUCAUAUUUUGGGCGGACCGUCGGGCCGGACCGGGCCGCCCGGCCAUGAACACCUCUAGGGCAAAGUCACUCAAUGAAUGCAUGGAAAGAAAUAUUGCAACUUGGUGACAGCUUUUGUUGGAGUUAUAUGCUUUUUUUUACAUAGUGGAACUUUCGGUGGAUUUUCAAGUUUCAUGAACUUUAUACCCUAGGCUUUACGUGAAAAAAAUCAUUGGACUUAAAAGUCUACCAAAAGUUUCACUAUAAUAAAUAAAUAAAUAAAUAACAUUGCUACAAGACUACAACAUAAAGUUACAAUAAGAGCUUAUAACUCAACAAAGGCUAUCAAUAAAUAAUCUCAAGCAAGCUAAAGAGAAAUGUUGAGAGUACCACUCAAAUAGUGAUUGACUUUAAAAAUUGAAAACCCGAAGUUAUUGUUGACACCAUUUUUUGGAUGAAAAUGUGUCGACUUGGGUUUUGAAAAUGAAAACGAAAACGAGAGUCGCCACCAAUCCUUUUUGAUAAGGUGUGACUGGGUCACCUUGAAAAGUGGUUGUUUUUAAUAAACGAUUUGAUUUUAUUAAAACAACAGUUUUGGUCCACGAAAUUCAGAAAAAUGAGUUCGGGAGUCGGUUACGCACGAGGAAGGAUUAGCACCCUCGAUACGCCCAAAAUUGGUACCUAGUUGAUUACUUAAUGUCUUAAUGUCGAAAAUUGAAAACUUUGGAGAAUUUUAAACAUACGAUCCUUGUAUUAAAACGUUAAAAAUUUUCAAGAAAAUGGGAUAUUUCACGUUAUUCGAUAAAGAGAAUCAUAUCCUAGUAAGUUAGGACACAAUAUCUCGAAUUUCCGAUAUCAUUUAAAACUUGAGUUUGAAAAGAUUCGUGUAAUAAAGUUUAAAAUAAUAUUCAAUUGUUUAAAUCAAAUGAAGAAAUCGCAACCCAAUACGUUAGGGCACAAUUUCUCAAAAUAUUAAACAUUGAAUAUUGCAUUUAUUUCGAAAAAUCCUCAUCUCGAGAAAACGUGUCACAUCCAAUGCAUUAGAAUACAACGUAUUGAAUUCUCGAUAACGAGCUUUUUCUCAUUUUUUAAAAGAGUAAUCUCGAUUAUUUAGGUUCAACGAAGAAAAUCAAAACCCAAUACGUUAGGGCUCGAUUUUCUCAAAGAUUCCAAAUACCGAGUAUUACUUAUAUUUUUAAAAUUUCUUUUUUGAAAUCCGAGUAAAAAUGAAUGCAAAAUAAUAAAUGAUGACAAUGUAAAUAAAAUGAUACAAGCAAAACAAUAAACAAUAAAAAUAAUCAUACGGGCAAGGUAACAAAUAAUUAGGAACUAAAGAAAGAGAACAAACAAUAAUAAACAUGCAAAUAAAUGAACAAAAUUAACAACAUGAUGCAAAUAUGAAAGAUAUAUAAGCACAUAUAUAUACAUAAAAUAAUGAGAAUAUGAAAAAAUGUGUGUAAUUGGACAUGUUUCGGAAUUAUUAUACAUUUAAAAAUCAUGUAAAUGUGUGUACAUACAUAUAUACAUAUAUAAUAAUCAUUAAAUAUAUAAAAAUACAUAUGUGUAGGUAUAUAUGAGUCAUAAAAUGUAAAGAAUAUAUACAAGAUAUAUUUUGAACGUAUAAAGUAUAUGUAAAUGUAUAUAUAUAAUAAAGGUGUAUGAAAGCAUAUUUUAUAUACGUGUAUUUAUAAAAUGUAUAUAAAUGUAUAUUGAUUUACCAAUACAUAUGGAUUUAUAAUUAUAGAAUAUAUAUAAAAUAUUUACAUAUAUACGUUUAUGCAUAUAUAAAAGUAAGUUAUUAUAAAAUAUGAGCAAGCAGAAUACAUAAAUAUAUAUACAUAAAAUAAAAAUGAAGAUGAAAAUAAUAUAAAACUACUUAAUAUAUUAAUAUAAUAGUAACAAAUUAAAAAAACAGAAAAUAAAGCUAAUAAUAAUUAAUAAUAGUAGUAAUAAUUAUAGCAGCAAUGAUAAUGAUAAUAAUAAUAACACUAAAAAAAUUAAUUAAAUAAUAAAAUUGCUAAAAAGGGAUUAAAUCGAAAUAAAAACAUAAAUACUGGGCGAUUUUGAAAUAAAAAACGGGAAGGACCGAAUUGCAACGCGCGUUGAAAAGGAAAGGGCCAAAACUGCAAAUAAACCACAGCCCCAAAACGCAGCGUUGAAAUGGACCAAGUCGAAAUAAAAAUAAAAUUGCAGGGGCUAAAUUAAAAAUAAGAGAAAAUAACGAAAAAUGAUCAAAUUGUAAUACGCUGCAAAAUCAGGGGGACUGCACGCGCAAAUAGCCCAAAAACUGAAAACACGCGGAUCCUCCGGGUCGGGUCGGGUCGGGUCAGGUCGACGUGCGGAUCCCCUUUGCUAAAACGGCGUCGUUUCAUGUUUAAUAUAAAUACUAAAAAAAGCUAAAAAAAACAGUUUCAUCUUUUUUUAAAAAAAACAGAGAGAAAACUCUCUCUUUUUCCCUCAGGUCCGGCCAUGGUCCGGCUUGGGAUUUCCGACGAGUCUCCGCCGCAAAGCCACCGUGUGUGGCGGCCGGAGGUUCAAAAUCAGACCUUUUUGGUCCUUUUUUAAAGUCCAUGGCCUCCAAGCCACAGAUCCGGGGCUGAAUCUCCUGAAUCGAAAGCCGAAGACCCAAAAAAUGGGGUGAAAUCCUUCGCCUUCCUCCCCCUUCCGGCGCUGCGCAGGUAAGGUUUUUUUUAACUCCUUUUUUACUAUCUUUAUUUAUAUAUAUACAUGAAGAGAAAAGAGAGCAAAAUAAAUAAAUAAAUAAAAACUUCAAAACUGAAGAGAAAAAGACCUUGAAUCUGCCUUAUUUAUUUUCUUUCGGUUGAAUCUGUUUUUGUUUGUUACAAAAGUUUCCAGGGAAGAGAAAAAAAAAGAGAGUUACAUGCUUGGCUUUUAUAGCCGAUAUUAAUUUCUAUUUUUUGUUUUCUUUUUCCUUUCUUUUCUUUGGCUGUUGCGUGUUUGCUUCCUUAUUGCAGGGUGAUUGACGGGAGUGGUUGGCGACAGAGUCGGUGGCCACUUGCACUGAUGAAGCAGCGGUGGCGGCGCUAGGGUAGGCUAGGGACGGCGGCAGUACUAGGGUUUCAGAAAACUGAAACCCUAGUUUGACAAAUUGGUUUCGGGCCUGUUGGGCUUUAAAUUAUGGGCUUUGUAAUUGGGUUUUGGGUUUAGGUGAUUUGGGUUUAGGUGGUAUGGGCCCGGGUCAAAUUUUGGGUAAUGGGAUUGGGGCAAAAUUGGGUUGUACAGUUAUAAUAUCCCAAACGAAAUCAAACUAUAAACAUUAAAUUUUUCGAGUCUUCUAGAUACUGUAAAAAAUUCAGCUCCAACGGACACCAAAUGAACCUAUGAUCGAAGAAAAUACGAAGACUAGUCUGGCUAAAUCAAUCUGCCAAACUUACUUUUUAUCUUAUCUUUAAUUUGCUGUGAAAUUCAAAACUACGUGUAAUACUCAAUUUAUGCUCGACCCAUUUUGUUAAAACAAAUAAAAAAGAAAAGAAAAACAAAAUAUUUAAAUUUAGCCCAAAUGUCCAUUUACACAGCCCAAUUACAAUUGCAAAUAAAAAAAACUAAAACUAAACCCGAUCCUAAGCAUCAGCCCAAAUUCGACCCAUGCCCAAAACGAAUUCAGAUGCAGAAACCCUAGCCCAGCCUUAAUGCAAGCAAAAGUCGAAAGCCCUAAUAGUUGGUGCGCCGCUCCUGUAACAGCCCGAUUUUGGGCCUAGUCGGAACAGUGGUUUUGGGACCACAAAUCCGACGAGAAAAAAAUGUAAUGGCCCGAAUUUUCAGAGGUGUCAGAACGGUGAUUCGAGAUCACUAAAUUCGACAAAUGGGUAGAAAAUAUUAUUAAUUUAGUAAGUAUAAGUUAAAUGUGAAGUUAGGAAAAUUUUUGAAAUGGUGAAUAGUACACUAGAAAUAAAUAUUAAAAUAAUUAGAAUCGAAAAUGAGGUAUCGAGACCUCGGGGAUUUUAAACCGAGCCAUAAAUAUUUUUAUAAAUAUUUAUGUAGUCUUAAAAAGUUAGUAUUAAAGUUUCGUUAAGAAAUUUUAAAGUUCCGAUAAUUAAUUGAACAAAAAGGACUAAAUUGUAACAAAUACAAAAUUAUGAGAAAUGAUUAAAUAGUUUAAAUGAUAAAAGGAAGAGGGCUUAAAAGGUAAAUAGACCCAAGGUCUAUUUGGGCUGCACGGCAAAGGCAUGAAAUCAGCAACAAAGUAAGGAGAAUUAAGGGCAAAAUUGGAAUAUUGCAAAAUUUACUUAAUAAAGUUAGGACCAAAGUGGAAUUAUCUAGAUUUCUCUUUAUUUUUCUGCAUUAUCAUCAGCAUAAACACCAUAGAAGGGUUUUCUUAAGCUGGUUCUUCCUAUUUUUACUGCAGGUAAGUUCAAUUCUUGAUUAUUUCUUGAAAAUUUUGUGUUUUUGUGACUUUUACAACUAGGCCCACUUAUUGUAUUCAUUAGUUUUUGAUUCUAUGAAAGAAGUUGAAAGUUGCUAUGAAUACAUGCUGGAAGUAUAUGAUGAUUUAGCAUGGAAUUAGAGCUUUAAAUUGUUCAUAUGCUGAUUUAUUGAAAGAAUUGAAUAGAAAGUGAAUGUUUGGGACCUAAUAGUAAAAGAGUUUGAAGAUAGAGUUAUAUGUGGAAAUUCUGAAUUUCAAUAGUUGUGAAACAACUUAUAAUGUCUAGGUUAAGUAUUAAUUGAGAAAAUUAAAUUAAUUGAGGGGUUAAUUGAGAAAGGACCGAAUUGUAUAAACUGUGAAAUUUGGGGCAAAAAGGAAAUCAACAUUUUACACUAAAGCAGUUUUGGACAGCAGCAGUAGUAUAACUUUGAAAAAUCACCAAAAAUUUUGAGAAUUGAAUUAGAGGGUGAAUAAAAUAUAAAAUUAAAGCUCCUUGAAUCUAGUUUCUCAUAGAAGAAACGGUGUAAGCAAUGGAAUUGUAAAUCAUGAGAUAUAAUAAAUUUUGUGAGACAAUGUCAUAAUGAUUUCGGGUUCCCCUAUUCUGACUUUGGAAAAUCAUCAAAAAAUUAAGAAAAAUAUGAGUUAUAAUUUAUAUGAUUACAAUCCUUAAUGAGUCUAUUUUCAAAGAAAAUAAACGGAAAUAUCAUCCAAAUUCUGUACAAUUAUAUAAUUCAUUUUUAGUGAAGAGUGGUCGAAACUGUCAGACAGCGAAAUAGGGGGAACUUUAAAGAAUAAACUGUACUAUUUGGCUGAACCAAAAAUUCUGAAAAUUUUAUGGUAAGAAGGUAUGUGAGUCUAGUUUUAAGGAAAAUUAACGGAUCUUAAUUUAGAGCUCUGUAGCUCUAGAUAAAAAUAAUUUAGUGACUCUGACUCAGAUAAAUAGCUUUGAAUGUACAUGUGAGUGAAUAGUGAAAUUAUAGCUAGUGUUGUUUAAGUGUGUUAUACACAUUAAGGAUAUGGAAUGGAGAGGAGGAGGAGGAGGAAAAAUUGGGAAAUAUAUGAAUGAUUUGUGUAUAAUUGGUCAUAUGCUUAAUUAUAAUUGAUAAACGAUGAAAUAGAAAUGAUGCAUAUAUUUGUGCAGUAUUGGUCAUGGUUUAAGCUCAUGUGGGAAAAUAAAGUUUAUAGUACGUGUGUAUUAUAUUUUUGGUAUAUGAUUUGGCAUUAAGUAAUGUCGUGAAUGGAUAUUGAAUUAACACAUGUUGGAAAGUUUGAUAUAUGAAUAAAUAUUGUGAUCAUGAAAGAGUGUUACAGCUCCUGCCUUCAGCACGCGUCGAGCCUCCGCGCCAAAUCCACGUGAGCCUCCGUACACUCCAACUAGCCUCCGUACCUGCAACAAACAAAAGUAGACAAAACAACAGCAAAGGAUAGGAAGAAAAGGCAGUAAAUAGUGAAGAUUUUUCUGUAAUUUUCUUUGGAUUUCAUUAUGUAUUUUCGGCUAUAAAAGAGCCAUUAGGAAUAUUUGUAAAGGGUUUUUUUUUUACCCUCACACACAAAGAGAAUAUACACGCAUACAAGAUCAAUAUAGAGAAAGAAAUAAAAAUAAAUAAAUACAAAGAAUAGAAAAUCAAGUUUCGAAGGUGAUUCUUUGAAAAAUCCUUUUCGUUUUUCUCAUUUUUCCUUUUUCCUGGAUCUUUUGUUCAUUUCAAGUAAAAAAAGUAUAGAAAGGAAACAAGUUUAGAGGAAGGAGGUUUACCUGGACGCCGGACCUCGCUCGCCUCGUCGAAAUCGAAGGCUGAGAGGGGAUAAAUCGGUUUUGCGGCAGAAGGAAAGGGGGGCUAGGGUUCUUGUUUUAACUUUUUUAAAAAAAAUAGAAAAGGUUGCUAAUUAGGUUUUAAUGGGGGAUUUAUGUGUGUUAAAAAAACGACGUCGUUUAGCGACCUUUGACCCGUGCGGUGACCCGACCCGAGGAAAGGAUCUGCGCGUUUUGGGUCUGAUGGGUUUAUUGCGCAACAAGCCCUUCCGCAUUUGUUUUUCGUUUCAAUUCGGUUUUUAUUUGUUUUUUAAUUGUUUUCUCAUAUUUAGUUCCAAUUUCAAUUGGGUCCAUGAUUAAACGACAUCGUUUUCAUUGAUUGGGUUUGAAGGCCUGGUUUUGUGCGUCUAAAUUGCAGCAAUGGUCCCCCUGAUGUGCAAUAGUUCUCGAUUUAGUCGUCUCCACACUUAUUUCAAAGUCGUCCUUGAGAUUUUGUUUUAUUUUUGAAAUUGUCCUUGUCUUCUUUUAAUUUAUAAUGAUAUUAUUAUUAUUGUUGUUGUUAUUAUUACUAUUAAUAUGGGUAUUGUUAUCAUGUUAGUUUAUAUCUAUUUAUUUACUUUUAUUUUAUUAUGUAUUAUUAUAUAAUGCUUUUAUCAUGUAUCAUUUUAUAUAUUUUCUAUGUUAAUCUAAUAUGAUAUAUAUAUAUAUAUGUAUUUUUGUGAUCUUAUUUUAUAAUACUUUUUUAACCCAUUUAUAUGCCUUUAUGUUUUAAAGAUUUAUAAUAUUUUGUGCAAAACUAUUAUAUAUAUAUAUAGAUAUACAAUUUAUAUUAGACCAUUUUUAUCGUACAUAUACGUAUAUAUAAUUUAUAUUUUGAAACUCUAUUUUAUUAUAUUUUAUGCCUCUAUAUACAUCAUUAUAUGUUUAUUAUUCUUUAUAUUAAACCUGCCAUUUCACUUAUAUAUUUUUAAAACCAAUGUGUAUUAUUCUUUCUUCUUUGUUAUUUUUUAUCUCUUAAAAUAGAUUGAUAAUUCAUUUAAUUUUUGAAUGUUGUAUGACCGAGAUUAUCGUUGCCAUUCUUGUCCAAAUUUAUCCAUUGCUUGUUCAUAUUAUUUGAUAAUUUAUCGCUCACUAGCAUGUAUCGUAAUUUACGAAUUAUCAUUUUGAAUUAUGUACUACCAUUCAAUCGCAUUACAUUUGUUUGGAAAACAUCGAAAUCGUUUUGCACAUAAACCUUCAAAAUGCUUGGUAUCCAAAAUUCUCGAGAGGAUUGUGCCCUAAUUUAUUGGGCUUCAAUUCCCCUUUUUGAUUUUAAAUAACCGAAUACCCCUUUUUCAAUUUGAACAUAGAAAUUCCAAAAUAAAAAAAAACUCAUUCUCGGGAAUUUGAUGCGUUGUGUCCUAACGUAUUGUAUAUGACAUAUUUUUCUCGAGACGAGGAUUUUUCUAACAAAUAAAAAUAAAGGCAAUAUUCGAUAUUUAGGAAUUUUGUGAAAUCGAACCCUAACUUACUGGGUUUUGAUUUUUUCAUUUGACCCAAGUAGGAUAUCCUUCACAAAUGCACAGAUUUUAAAAAAUCAAAAGAUAAACUUAAUUUCGAGGAUUUAAAAUGUUACACUCUGACUUACUGAGUGUGUCAAUUUAUUUCUUUGAAAUAAGUGAGUCUUAUCAUCCAAUUUAUUUUAUUCAAAUUUUCUUUUCCAAGGAUCGUAUUUUAAAAUUUUUUCAAAAUUUCGACAUUAAGACAUUAAGCAAUCAAUUCAGUACCAAUUUUGGGCGUCACGAGGGUGCUAACUCUUCCUCGUGCGUAAUCGACUCCCGAACCAGUUUUCUCAAAAUUCACAGACCUAAAAUUAUUUUCAAGGUGAUCCGAUCACACCACAAUAAAAGAUCAGUGGUGACUCCCAUUCCUAUUUUUAAAAGUCGAUUCCUGUUUUUCAUAUAUAAAAAAAUGGUUUCGACACUACGGUUUUGUUUGUUUCCCUUAGAACAACUUUCAAAAAGUUAAUUUUGAAAAAUGGAUUGAAUUUUCAAAAUAGAUGAUAUUUUUUUGUGUUAAAAUUUUAUUCGUUGUUUGAAAAAAAAAUUUAAAUCAUUUUCUUAGAAUUAUUUUUAGUGAAACAAAUAUAUCAUAAAUAUAUUUGUUAUAAAAUAUUAUAUUAAUAUUUUCUUUUAACAAUUAAAAUAUAUUUUGUGAUAAGGUAAUAUUUUAUAAUAAUUAAUAUCAUAUAUACUUAAUAAUAAAUCAUGUCUAAUUAAAAUUUAAUUUCAAUUAAAUAUAUUAAUAAAGCUACAUUUAAUCAUAUUUUAUAUAAUUAAAAUAUUAAUAUAAAUAUUUUUCAAUAAUAUAUUAAAGAAUAUUUAAAAUUUAAAUUUAUUAUUACUAAGAUUAAUUAUUAAAACAAAAAUGUAAUAUUAAAUAAUUUAUCCAAUGAUAAGUUAUAUUAAUAAUUUAUUAUAUUAUUAAAUAUAAAUAAUUAAAUAUGUAUGUUUAAUAAUAUUAUGUUAUAAUAUUUAUUACUAAUAUUUUAAUAUUUUUAAACAACCAUGUUUUAAAGAUGGUGGUGAUGGUGAUGGUGCAGGCCCCCUUGUUAAAAUUACAAUAUUUUUAAGUGGGAUGCAUGUAAUAUAUUGUUAGGGUUUUAGAGUAUGUGGUCUUUAAAAGGGUUAAAUUAUAUAUUUAUAUAAUAUGAUUAUUGUUUAUAAACAUAAUAUUGUAGAUAAGUUUAUAUGUAUGUCAAUAUGUAUCCUACUCUAAGGUUAAUAUGUAUUUUUUAGAUGUGGGUUUACCUAUAUAAUAGUAUGAAUCCAUCAUGUGGUCUCAUGAAAUAUACAAACACAUAUCGUGCGAACACAAAGUACGAACAAUAAAAAAUACAAAUCAAGACCCAAUUGAAUAAUUGAAUAACGGAUAGGUAAUAAUGAAUAUCAUAACAUUUACUAUCCCCUCUUUUCUAGUGAGUUAUUGUUUAUGAUAAAUUUGCAACAAAUGUUUUUAUCAUUAUUUUGUUGGUAAAUGAUAAUAAGAUUAAACAUUACUUUCUUAAGCUCCUUCAAUUCUUUGGACGUUAGCGAGUAAACUUGAGCUUCAGCAUUCCACAAACACCUUAAUUUGAAGACACAGUUCUCUCAUACUAAAAACGACAUGGACGUUUACCUUGUAAUUAGAGAUUUGGGCUCAUUGUUGGGUUAUUAAUGAUACGGGGAUGGAGAGCUUUAAACUGGGUAUGGUUGGCCCCAAAGAGGCUCGAAACGUGCUUGAGACUAGAGGUGAUCAAGGGCCGGGUUAGGCCCAGUCUAGAAAAAAAAUUAGGCCCAUUUUUUAGAUUUGAACUCGGCUCGGCUCAAAAUAUAAGCUUAAAAAUUUGUCUAAGUUCAGUCCGAAAGAAAAUUGUUAAGCCCAAGCUCGACCCAUAUUAAAUUUUACAACACCAAAAAAGUAUAUUUAAAUAAAAAUAAAAUAUAUAUAUUUAAUAUAUAAUUCGGGCCGAGCUGAACUCGGGCCAAAAAAGUUUUACUCGGGGCUGGUCCGUUUUCUAAACAGACUUCGUUUUUUUUGCCAAAAUCCAUAUUUUUACCCGAAUCUUCCUAUUUUUUGGGGUGUGCCGUCGGGCCGAACUGGGUAACCGAACCAAUGAUCACCUCUGUAAUCACUGAAUUUUGUCCGGGAAUAACUUUCGUUAAAAAAAUUUUAAAAUUAAAAAAAAAUUAACUUUUUUGCUUUUUGACCCCUAAACUUUUCUAAAAUUUCAUUUUAACCCCUAAACUUUCUCAAAAUUACAGUUCAACCCCUAAACUUUUCUAAAUUACAUUUUGACCCCUAAAAUUUCUUAAAAUUACAUUUGGACCCUUACACUUUCUCAAAAUUACGUUUCGGCCCCAAAAUUUUUGCUACAUUUACAAAUUGGUCCUUCUGUCAGAAAAUCCCCAAUAAUCCGGCGGAUUUCGUGCACCUGCCCCACUAUUUCCGGCAGCCGGCCUAGGGCAUGGCCUUCCCCACCUGCUACCUGCAAACAAGAAGCAAAAUCAACUAUAAAAAGGAGUUUAAACUCCAAAAAUCGGACCCCCACCCACGAAAAAAAUAAAAAAAAAAAACUUGAAAGAAAAAGAAAAAAGCUUUGAGAAAGAAAAAGAAAAGGAAAAGAAGAGAGGGGAGAAGGAGAGGCCGACCAUCGGCGAGCCACCGGAGGAGGCGACGGCAGCAGCGGCAUCGACGGCGGCGUAGAAGACCGAACGGAGAAGAAGAAGAAGAAGAAAAAAAAAGAAAGAAGAGAAAGAAAGAAGGAAGAAGAAGAAGAAAGAAACAAAAAAAAAAGAAAAUAUUUUGUAAUAGUCGGCCCGGCCCGACUCGACCUGCACGACCCGUGACCCGACCCGACAGCACCAGCAACCUAGCAGGCCACGGUAGCAGCCCGGCGGCCCAAAGAGUAGCCCAAAAAGAAAAAAAGAAGAAGAACAAAGCAAAAAAAAAAAGCAGGCCAUUUUCAGCAGGCCCAGUGCAGCCCAGCAGACCCAGCGAACCCAGCAGGCCAGGCCCACACGCAAGCAGCCCAACAGAAAAAAAGGGAAAGAAAAAGAAAAGAAAAAAGAAAAAAGAAAAAAGAAGAAGAAGGGGUUCAAUUUGUAUUAUCCGUUCGGCGAAGCUCGUGUUUUGAGGAUUUUUUUUCGGUAAUUUUAUUUUUUAAUUUUAAUUUAAUGCUCGUAUUUUUUUUAAAUAUUAUUAGUAUUUUAUGCAUUUUUAUAUUUUGGCAUUUAUAUUUUUAAUUUAAUUUACUUCAAUUUUUAUUUUAUUUUAUUUUAAAUAAUUUUAAUAAAUGAGGCAACGAAUCGAUUUAACAUAAAAUCGUUGAUUUCAUUGCUAUGUUGGGUGAAUAUCAUCGGUUUGUGUUAAACACGAUACACCCUUUUUAAAAAAAAGAAAAAAAUCGAAAAAAUUCUAAAAUUCUCAUUUUUUUAAAAUUCUCGUGUUUUAAUAGAAUCACGAUUAAAUAUUAAGUUGAAUCGAUUUGGCACUAAUUCGAUGAUUUCAUCUCCAUGUAGGGAUGAAUAUCAUUUAUUCGUGUUAAAUAUGGUACUUCUGAAAAAAAAUCGGGUUUCAAAAAUUUUCGUGUUUUCAAAAAUUCUCAUGUUUCAAAAAUCUUCGUGUUUUAAAAAUUCCAGUGUUUCAAAAAUUUUCGUGUUUUCAAAAAAAAAUUUCUCGUGUUUUUAAAAAUUCCCGUAUAUCGAAAUUUUCUUGUUUUCAAAAAAAAAAUUCCAUGUUUCAUAAAUUUCCGUGUUUUCAAAAAAAAAUUCUUGUUUUUCAAAAAUUUUCGUUUUUAAAAAAUUUGACCGUGUUUCAUAAAUUUUCGUAUUUCAAAAAAACCUCGUGUUUCAAAAUUUUCGGGUUUUUUUAAAAACAAUUCGUGUUUCUAAAAUUCUCGUAUUUUAAAAAAAAUCGUGUUUUCAAAAAAAGAAAAAGUUGUUGUGCUUUAAAAUUAUCGUGUUUCAAUCGGAUCACGAUUAAUAUUAAAUUGAACUCGUAUUUUUGAAAAUGAAAACAACGCGCGUUUAACGAGAUACCAAUUUUGGGCGUCGCGAGGGUGCUAAUACCUUCCUCGCGCGUAACCGACUCCCGAACCUUAAUUUUCUCUGAAUUUUUACGUGGACCUAAAAUUACCUCUUUUUAGAAAAGUUUAAAAAUGAAUUUUUCUUCUAAAAAGAGAAUUUUGUAGGUGUCCGAUCACACCUAAAAAAAGAUCGGUGGCGACUCCUUUUUUUCAAAUAAAAUCGAGAUUCAGUUUUCAAGUUUUUAAUAAUUACUUCGACAAGCGCCCGUGCGCAAAAUUUUUAAGUCGCUACAGCCUCUACUUGAGACAACAGGGUUUUGCAGGGAAUUCUUACAGGUUCGUUUCUGGCGACAAAAAAGAGCUCUUCACUAUAAGCAUACAAACAAGAGCCAAAACUAUGCCUCUUAGUGAUGAUAUUAGGCCUUAUGUUAUUCCUUUUCAACAUCAAACCGUCAACCGGUAUGGUAUGUUUUUUUUAUUUAAUCUGCAAUUUGUGAUAAUUCUUUGUUAUUUAUGUAUGGAAUUUAUUGGGAGGAAAUGCUGGAAAGAAUUCAUUUACGAGAAUUGGUCCAAGAUCAAGGGUGAACAUUACGGACCCUGAAAAAUAAGAGAAAUACUUAACAAAUUUAAUGACUUCCAGAAGAUACGUACCAAUCCACUGCUUAAUUUGCUUGUAAGCGGCCUUGUUAACCUCGAAGGAGACCGAUGGAGCAAGCAUAGAAAAAUCAUAACCCUUGCAUUUCAUCAAGAUAAGUUGAAGGUAUAGAAUAGUAAUGGGUACUCAAGACUUUAAAGAAAACAUCAUACUUAAGCCUAUGCUUUUCUGAUUUAGAAAUAAUUGGAUGCAGAAUAUGUUGCCAGCAUUUUAUCAAAGUUGUAGUGACAUGUUUAAGCAAAUGGGAGAAGAUGGUGUGUACAGAAGGAUACAUUGAGUUAGAUGUGUCGCCUUAUCUCGUAGAUUUGACAAGAGAUGUUAUUUCCCGAUCUGCUUUUGGAAGCAGCUUCGAAGAAGGCAAACGAAUUUUCCAAUUACUAGAGGACCAACUCGUUCUCACAAUCAAAUUAAUACAAACUGUUUACAUUCCAGGAUGGAGGUAACCGUCUACUUUAAUUUACUUGAAAAAGGUUGCAAAUGUUGGAAUUGGCUAAAUUCGUGUUUGUUUUCUUGAAGGUUUUUGCCCACAAAGACAAACAGGGAGGUGAAGAUGAAACACAAAGACAUAAAAGAGUCGCUCAGGGAAAUGAUAAAAAGAAGAAAGCAGGCAAUUAAAGCAGGGGAAGAGAGUAAUGAGGACUUGUUGGACAUACUUGUGGAAUCCAAUAUCAGAGAAAUGGAAGCAAAGAAUAUGGGGAUGAGCAUUGAGGAUGUGAUUGAGGAAUGCAAGCUGUUUUACUUAGCUGGCCAGGAGACCACUUCGGUCUUACUGGUGUGGACUAUGGUUUUAUUAGCAAGGUAUCCCGAUUGGCAAAGUAAAGCAAGAGAGGAGGUUUUGCAUGUUUUGGGUGACAGUAAACCUGAUGCUGAUGGCCUUAAUCGUCUCAAAGUUGUAAGUCCCUAGCAUGUCUCUUGAAGGCCCGAUCUCUGAGGUCGACAACUCAAAAACUUGGUUCUUUGUUUCGCUAAUUCUACAGUUAACAAUGAUAUUGUACGAGGUUCUAAGGCUGUACCCACCAGUGAUUGAGCUAGGACGUUCCGUUCCAAAAGAAAUAAAACUGGGAAAUUUGUUGUUACCAGCAGGAACAGACGUUUCGGUUCCAAUCCUGCAGAUCCACCAUGACAAAGAUCUUUGGGGCGACGCCGCACGGGAAUUUAAGCCACAGCGGUUCACGGAAGGGGUUUCCUAAGCAACAAAGAGUCAAGUCACGUUUCUGCCAUUCGGAUGGGGUCCUAGGAUCUGCAUUGGCCAAAACUUUGCCAUGAUGGAAGCUAAAAUGGCGAUGGCUAUGAUUCUCCAACGCUUCUGGUUUGAGCUUUCCCCUUCCUAUGCUUACUCUCCUUACAACAUGGCAACUCUUCGUCCACAGCAUGGUGCACAGAUAAUUUUACAUAAACUUGGCUGUAAUUGAAUUGUUAUGUAAGCAAAUCUUUGUGAAAAUAUAGUGUUUUAGUGUAUCGUCAACGUCUGUCUGUAAUGGUACAAUUCCGAUGCAUGAAUAGUAAAUUUUGAGAUGUUUGGUGAAGUCCGAAAUAAUAUGCAGAAAUUGAGUGUCUAUGGUGGACAUAGUUGAGGGACUAAUGUGGUAAUUAUCAAUCAAAUAAUUCGGUACAAAGACUUAUAUGGAAAUUAAAGCAGGGGGAGUUGAAAAUGACUACUCUGCUUUGGGCAUCAAUUUAGAAAGAUUUAAAGUACAAAUGUGUUAUUAGUUAAGGGAUUUGUUUUAAAGAGGGAAUGACAAUUAAACCUCAUGGUUGAUUUGUGGAAGGGAACCAAUGAUGGGAUGAUUACUCUUAGUGGUGAAAAAAAAACUAUUAAGGUGGUUAUUAUAGUUGUUAUCACCAGCCUAAAAUUUGAAUAGGUUCAGGUCGGAUUAUAUUGAGCUUGCAAGAUUAGUUCACGGACCAAACUUGCAUGAUAAUAGGUAUUCACAACAAGAUAUCUAUAGUUUCCAACAAAGUCACAUGUGAGAUCGUGCAUUAGAACCGCAUAAACAUGUUUUAUGUUUAGAAUAUGAUAUGUGUCUAUGUGUAUAGAAUCUACCUAAUAUAUCAUAUUAAUGAAUAGUAUCAAUUGCGGAGCCAAAAAAUUAUUUGUGAGGGGUCAGAAUUAAAUUGUAUAUUUUUACAAAAAUAAAAAUUAAAUUUCACUAUUUUAAUAGUUUAUUUAUUUUUAAUUUUUAAAUGAUUAAAUUAAAUUUUAUAAAUUUUUAGGAUCAAAGUAUAAUUUUAUCAUUACUAAUUUAAAAUUUUAUAAAUUAUAAAAAGUUUAUAUGAAAAGUUUUCUAUUUUAGGGUGGCCAAAGCCCCUGUCAACUUCUGACUCGAUCACUUGCGGUUAGUUGGGUAAAGACUCAAGAAAAAUAGCGGUGUGUUUGGAUGGACGGUGCGUUUACUUGCGGUUAGUGUAAAAAUAGCGGUGGCGGUGAGAUUAGAUACUAUAGCAACACUGUAGCGUGAGACAAAAAGUAAGUUAAACGCACUGCACUGCACUUAAUCGUCUAUCUAAACUCACCAUAAGUGUCUAAAAUAUGAUUUAAGUGAAGAUACGUGGGGUAGGUGUCAUGGAAAUGUAAAAAAAAAAAAGAAUCCUACUAAUGUAUGGGAUGUGUACAAUUGAAUGCAGGAGUGAAUCAUUUGGGUAACAUUUGGACAAGAAACAUAAUGAACAAAAUGAAAGGAGAGGAAGCUAGUAAUAAAAGAUUCUUUUGGGUUAUAUAAUUUGUUUGGCAUAUAUUUUUAUAAUAUUUAAAUAUCAUUUUGGAGUUGUUGAAUUAUAAUUUAUUUUUAUGUUUUAAAACAUAAUUAUUCUAUUUUUAGAGGUCAGAGUAGAGGUGAGCAUGAGUCGGGCUACUCGGCUCGGGCUGAAGGCUUGCGCAAAAUGUGAGAGAUUUGGGUAAAAAUAUAGGCCCGAAAAAUGAGUUUAGACAAAAAAAAAUAUAAGGCCCGUUGAAAAAACAGGCUAGGCCUUGGGUAAGGCAUUUUGGCCCCAGACCCGGCCCAACCCAAAUUCACUAAGGGCACGUUUGGUUCGCUGUAUUGGAAUAGAGGCGUAAUGUAAUAGAGGCGUAAUGGAAUAGAGACGUAAUAGCAAAUCAAUUGUUUGGUUGAAUGUAAUGGAAUAGAGGCGUAAUAGUAUUCUUAUAUUUGGUUGAAUGGAAUAGAGUUGUAAUAGCAUAAGGAAAAAAGUUAAAAUGACUAGAAUACCCUUAGCAGAAAUUUGUUUAGAUAAAUGAUUAUUGUUAUUGUUAUUAAAUUUUAAUAAGAUUAUUAAUAUCAGUAAUAAAUAAUUUAAUCAUAUUUUAACAUAAUUAUUAUUAAAUAUAAUUUAAUAAAAAUAUAUAAUUUAAUAAAAUUCUUAAUAUUAAAUAUUCUUAAUAUUAAAUUACUAAAAUCAUAAUAUAUAAUACUAUAAAAUAUAAUUUAACAUAAUUAUUAUUAAAUAUAAUUUAAUAAAAUUCUCAAUAUUAAAUAUAUUCUUAUAUGAAUUUACUAAAAUCAUAAUAUAUAAUACUAUAAAAUAUAAUUUAAAAUAAUUAUUAUUAAAUAUAAUUUAAUAAAAAUAUAUAAUUUAAUCUAAAGUUUGAAUGUGUAUUUACCUAGCAAAAAUCAAUGAACUCUCGUGUAACUAUAACCUUAAUAAUAUAUGAUGUAUAAUUAAUAUUUCGUGACUAAUUAAUAGCAUAGAGAUAAAUAUAGUAAUGACGAAUUUAUAGUAUACGAUUAAAAUGCUAAUAAUUUAUAGUAUACAAUUAAAAUAUUAUAAAUAAAAUAAUAGUAAAUGAUAUAUAAGAUAAAUUAACAUAUAAAUAAUUCAGAUAUGUAAAGGAUAUGGCUGAAUAUGGUUGCUCCAAUAAUAAAGGAUAUAUAAUAUAUCAUGGUGUUGUUUUGUUUAGAUAGUUCGGUAACUUAGGAGGGUAUGUAUGAAGAACACAAGUUGAUGCAGAUAGAAAGACGACAAUAUUACAUGAUUACAAUAUGAUAUAGUAUAUAUAUAUAAUUUAUGGAUUCCUUGCAAUCACGUGGGUUCUCUAGCCAUUUUAUUUAGCAUAUCCAGUGAUAUUAAGAUCCAGAAUUAUAAUACAACUAAAAUCUGUGCACACUUAUGGAUGAUCCAACAAAGCCUCAGUUGGCUUUAGGUUCCAAAUCUUGCAACCCACAAACCAUAUUUGCUGGCACUGCAACAUCAAUCAUCUUAGGAUAUGCCAAGUUAAGAUCUGUUGCACCAACAAAAACAGAGGAGAAAUUGGAAGGCGAUCCGAAAAAACCCAAGGAUGCUUUUUCUUUUCUUUUUUUUUUAUAAUCUUUAUAGACUGGUUAUAUUGAGCAUCAACUUACUUUCCAUGAUGUUUUUGAAAGUCUCUUACAAAAAGGGUAUUCAACAAAUAAUAUAAUCAGACAUAUUGAUAGGACAAAUUGAAACUAGUAUUCUAUGAUCAUAAUAAAGAGUAAUCUUUAAUCAAAUGCGUGAAGGUAUUGAGAUGUCAUGCUUUUUCAUGAUUUCCUGUUUUACCAUGGCGAUGUUCAUUGGAAUAGUCCCAUCCAAGAGAAUCAAACCAAUGCUCAGCAAGAAAUGUUCAAUGCAUAUGUAAUUUUAAUUACAGAAGUUAUAUGCAGCUUAUAUGAGUUCAAGAUCAUAAAAUACUUCAUGGACAAAAGGAAACCCUUUCUUAUCACUGAAAUGAAAAUAGGCACUCUUAAUUUUCUAUUGUCAAAAGUAGCAAGCCAUUUUCCAAAGAAAAGGGAAGAUGGAUGGUUCCAGAAAGAAUACCUCAUCCUUUGUCAAGUGUGGAUUAUAUAGCAUCUCCUCUCCCACAGUGGUUACCUAUAAUCAAUGAGGUUUAUAAAAUCGAGCAAUCAUUUAUAUAUGUAAGAAAUGAUAGGAAUAAAGUUUUAUAUCUUACUGAGAAUCCUUUGUAGUCAUGAGCUGGAUAUAGCAAUGUCUCUUUCGGUAAUGUAAAAAUCUGGAUCCAUGAAACAAAUAAGUCCAUAAAUUUUAUUCAAAUUUUGACAAUUACAAUAAAAUUUUGAGAACUCAAAGAAUGUGACCAUAAAAAGUCCCCUGUCCUUACCUGUGAAUGCACUGACUUGUAGAGUUGCUGUGAACUUCCACCCUGCAAAAUGCAUUAAUCAGUGCUAGUCAAUGGCUACUGAAUGUGGGAGCAUUAGAGAAAAUUAUCUUAAAAACUUAAGUAUAACAAAAUUAGACAAUGACAUCCAGAUGGAAAGAAAUUGCCAGCAUAUAAGACCAGCAUUUAUGUACUCACGACUGAAAAUCCUUUGCAAAAAGUAUAGCCCUGAUAGUUCAAACUUUUACUUCAAGGAUGAUUUAAUUACUGAUUAGUUUGCCAUGAGGCUUGUGAAUGACAAACACUUUAUGUGCAACCACAGUAACAAGGUAAGCACCAAUAAGUAGAAGACUAGACGAAUAGGUAACCAAGAGUUAGAGCUAAAACAGACAAACAGAGCUACUAUCCAAUGAGCUAAAACAUACAAACAGAGGUAUAUUUUAAUAAUGAAAAUAAUCGAUUGCCUUAAACACCAUAUAGUGUUCCAAUCAAUCAAAUUAUAGCAGGCAUUAAAACCUUUCCCUUUCGUUAAUUCACAACUAUUAGCUUCAUUAAUCAAAUCCUAUGUACAGUUGAUCGAUUGAAAGUGUAACAUUUCAAAGACGAAAUUUAAACGCAAAACUGGUUAACAUUGAAAUUACAUGUAAAUAUAACCUAAAAAAUCAAAAAAUUAAUCAUAUUUUCAGAUUUCAGGCCGAAAUGGAAUGAAAUGAAAGGUAAAUCCAUUUUUUCCCCAAAAAAACAAAAAUAAAGAAAUAAUAUUUCAAGAACAGAUCAUUAAAUUCAUGGUAUAUAUAAAGAAAUUUAAUUGAAAUCAAAGGAAUAGAAGAAGGGAAAAGCGUACUUGGAACCAUUGCUGCUACUCUCUGUUACUCUGUUACCUCAUACGAUUCGUUAAAGGGUUGUUAGGGUUUGUUAAAAGGUUGGUCAGGAUAGAAGCAUGAAAAGGAGGGAGAAGGUUGGAAGGAAAUGGGAAGAAAAAUGAAAAAAAGAAGAAGAUGCUGCAACGGCUUGGAGGGUAAAAGAGGACCGAUUAGGUAAUCCUUUCUUUUGGAAGGGAUUACAAAUCGGCGCUGCAUAAGGGAAAAUGGGGAAUCAGUGCGCUGCGUAAUAGGCCCGUAUUAAGGCAAUACAGCCAACCAAACAUGGUAAUCAGUGGGGCCACGAAUUAGGGGUGUAUUGGCUAAUCCAAUACACCCAACCAAACAUGCUCUAAAGGACAAAAAAAUUUGAUUUUUUAAAUAUUAUUUUCUCUCUAUUUUGCUAUCAUUUUACUAUUAUGUUGCUACUAUGUUAUUGUUAUUUUUGAAUAUUGUAUAAAACUUAUUUUAUUGUUAAUUUUGUUAUUAUUUUAAAGACAUUUGUUAAUUUUGUUAUUAUUUUAGAGACAUUUGUUUGUUAAGUUGCAUCUAUCUUAGUGUUAUUUAAGUAUACAUAUUUUUUAAAAUUUAUUUUCAAUUUAUUGGGAAAUAUUUAUUUUGAUGUUUUUAGUAUUUUGGAUGUAUUAUAUAUAUUAAAAUUAUAUAAAAAUUAAUAUGGCCGAGCCAGGUCAGGCCCAGAUUUUAGCAUUUUUAUUCAGGUCGGGCUUGAGCAAAAUUUUAAGCCCAUUUUUUGGGCCAAACCAGGCCUGGGCUUAGCAAAUGGGCCUAAAUUUUUAGUCAAGCUCGACCUAAACCCGAUCCGGCCCAUGCUCACCUCUAGAUCAGAGCUGCCCUCGCUUUGCAUUUCUUUGAGAUUCAGUCUUAUCUACUGUUGAUUGCCCACUCAAUGGAGGGUUGAGUAGAAAGAUUUGGUGAAGCAAGCUAAGCUAUCAAUCAAGGUUGGAGAAAGCUUAGGAGGUCACAAUGCAUAAUUAUUUAAAUGUAAUUCUAAUAUUUAAAUAAAAUUUAUUAAUAUAGUAUUAACAAGCCCUAAAUGUAAUGAUUAUAUACUAUUACAUUUUUAAGAAGAGAAAACAUGUUUGAACCUUAAAAACAUCAUUAUUAAAAAUGAUAAUUACAAAUUUUAAAAUAUAAAAAAUAUAAUUAAAAAUUAAUUUUAAACCCGAGCUGGAUAAAAUUCUAAUUUUAGAUAACGAUACUAAUAAGAAAUCAAUAUUAAAAUGAAAAUGAAAAGUAAUUUAAUAUAAUUUUUGAGUCUUGGGCAAAGGCACUCAAUGAAUGCUUGGAAAGAAAUAAUGCAACUUGGUGAUAGCUUUUGUUGGAGUAAUAUGCUCUUAUUAUAGUUUUAUGUUUUUAUCUUGCAAAAACAACAUAUUGGAGUUUUCGGCAUGAUUUUUUCUUAAUACUUUACAUGAAAAAUAAUAAUGGGACUUAAAUUGCUACAAUAUUACAACACAAAGUUACAAUAAGAGCUUAUAACUCAACAAAGGCUAUCAAUAAAUAAUCUCAGGCAAGCUAAAGAGAAAUGUUGAGAAUACCACCCGAAUAGUGACUGACUUUAAAAGUUGAAAACCCGAAGCUAUAUUAUCUCAAACGAAAUCAAACCAUAAACAUUAAAAUUUUCAAGUCUACUAGUUACUGUAAAAAAUUCAGCUCCAACAGACACCAAAUGAGCCUUUGAUCGAAGAAAGUACGAAAAAUAGUCUAGGUAAACCAAGCUUCCAAACUUACUUAUCUUAUCUUUAAUUUGCAGUGAAAUUCAAAAUUAAGAUUUUGUUUAUUUCACUUGGAACAACUUUCAAAAAAUUAUUUUUGAAAAAUGAAUUGGUUUUUCGAAAUAGAUGAUAUUUUAUUGUGUCAAAAUUUUAUUCAUUGUAGGAAAACUUUUUUUAAAUCAUUUUCUUAGAGUUAUUUUUAGUUAAAUAAACAUAACAUAAAUAUAUUUGUUACAAAAAAUUAUACUAGUAUUUUCUUUUGACAAUUAAAAUUUAUUUUAUGGUAAGACAAUAUUUUAUAAUAAUUAAUAUCAUAUAUAUACGUAAUAAAAAUCAUGUUUAAUUAAAAUUUAAUUAAAAUUAGAUGUAUUAAUAAAGCUACUCCUCCACAACCCGCAUCCGCAACAGCACCAGCACCAGCACCAGCACCAGCAUCAGCACCAUGGGACAACUAUUGGGUUUCCUCCACCUGCCUCUAUCGCUCCUCCUCAGUAUUACCCCCAAGCCUACCAGACCGUGCCGGGUAUUCUACAAAUAUGAAAAAACCUUCUUCUCUUUUUAUUAGCUUAUCGAAAUGAAGGAUUUUGAGAUUUGGGCUUUUGUUAGAUGGAUGGUUAAUGAUAUUUUUUAGAUGAAAGAUACAAGUUUUUUAAUGUUUUAGAAGAAAAGGUGUUUAAAUAUUAGGAGUUUUUUAGCAGAGAAAGAAGAUAAAUAAAUGCAUAGAGAUACAUUAGCAAUAUUAUUUGGAUUUGGUUGUCUAAUGUAAUGAAGAAUUUUUUAAGGGUGACCUGAGUAGGUGUGGCAAGAUUCAAAGUUUUUUCUAUUAUAGCAGAUAUAUAUAUAUUAAUGGUUUAAGAAGACUAGAAGUCGGUUUCAAAGGAAGAUGAGAAAUAAAAGCAUUUAUAUAUAUGAUAUGUCAUUAAUUCAUAAACCAAAUAUAUAAAGUAUGUAAAAGUGUCAGGGGUUAAUCAUGGUGUUUUGACAAUCCGGUAACCUUCAACUUGAAGAAAACCUUAGGUUUCAAAAAUUUAUGUGAAGAGUUAGAAUGGUAUGCUUCAUGGAUCUGAAUAACUAGAACAGUGUAAGAGUGGUAUAUUGUGUCAAGUUUGGUUUCUUGUAUAUAAUUGUAUCGAAAACAAUGUUACAUGAGUUAAAAUGAAUGUUCAUCCAAUUUAACAAAGCCUGCAUUAUGUUGAUCAAAAUUUUUAAUUCAUGUUGAGGUUUCUUCCGUGAUAUCUUUGAUGUCAAGGUUAUGAUGUUGCUGAAGGGACACCUGUAAGAGAUAAGCCACCGUGCUGUGGCAUUGGAUUCGGAUGGUUCUUGUAAGUGUACAUAGUUUUCUUUGUUUUUAAAGAGUUCUUUACAUAUGAAGUAAAACAAGUAGCGACUUGAUGGAUAUGUCAUUAAGCUUUAACUUAAGCAAAUCAUUUUCCUUCAUCUCUAAUUGCCAUUUCUUUAAAAGAAAAAGAGGAAGUUUUGUAGUUUACAGUUUGGACAAAUGGAAGUUAAUAUAAUGCACUAUUUGGAUGGACUAUGGAGAUAUCCAAUCAUAUUGGAUGAGUUAUAAGAAACCUGUGAGUUCAUAUUGGGUUUACUUUAUAUCAUAAUUAGAUUGUUGAGCUGGCUGUCAUACUUAGAUGGUAUUUCACGUUGCUACUUGUUAAACUAUACCACUUUCACAUUCAUACGUGAAAUGGCUGGGAUUUAGUGCCAUUCUACUUAGCAGCCUCGUGUAAUACACAGGUGAAAUGUUUAUGUCUUCAUGUCACCUUAAAGUUCCCAUUUCCAUGACGGUAUUGUUAAGUAAAGACUGGUACAUACCCCAAAAUACGGAAAUUGUUUUGGAUGUAUACUAUACUUUACCAUGCAUGAUUUUUUACAAGUUUGCAUGGUAUUUUAUCAUUAUAUUGGUCUUUAUUUUCUAUACUCGCAGCUUCCAUUAAUAUAUUUUUAUGAAUUUUAUCAUUAUGCUGGUUUGAAGGUUCAUCAUUGGUUUCUUCAUUGGGGGCCAUCCCUGGUAUAUUGGAUUCUUUGUUUUACUUUGUGCAAGGAUAGACGACAGAGAGAAAGCAGGAUAUAUUGCAUGCACAAUUGCCGUGAGUAUCUUUUCUAUCAUUAUUUUUUUCUUUUCCAAUUUUAUGAAAGCCAUCCUUCCUGCCUUGUAUUGAUCAUCAAUUUAACCAUUAUAUAUAUGUAUCUUAUGUAUUUGUACCAUGCUUUAUCUUCAAUGCAAAUAUAAGUUAAACUACAAAGAUUGGAUUGUUAAAAAAAGUUUAAAAUGUUAAAAAAAUUGAAAAUUUUGAUUUUGUAAGAAUGAUAGAAAACCAAGGCCAGUGCUUGCAUAUGUUAUCUACUACAUGCACAAUCGGGUCGAUGUCUGUAUAUGUUUCAUGUUUAGAAAUCGUGUUCAAUUGGGUUACGAUAUGUACAAUUGAAGUGUCAAUUUAUAAUUUCCUUAUCAAGAUUACACAUUUUUUUGUUAAUAUUCGGAAUCACUCAAUGGUUAUAAACCCUGAUUGGAUACUGUCCACAAAGUCUAGUUGGAACAUCCCUUGUAUUCUUUGUCCUUUCUAAGAACUUUCCUUUCCAUCAUUCUCGCUUCUGUUUUUUUUUUCUUCCCUCUACUUUAAGUCAUUAUCUAACGUAGAUAUCCCUUGUAUUCUUUGUCCUUUCUAUGGCAAUCGAGUCAAUUGAUGGCAAGCCAAAAAAACAAAAAGAGCAGCUAUCCUGUCUUACUCGAUUGCCAUCCCUCCUGUUAAACACCAUUAAGAAAAGGAAAAUUUUAGUUAAGCUUUAAAACAGCCAUGUUUUAACGAUGUUGGUGAUGGUGCUUGUGCAGGCCCUUCUUGCUACAAUUACAAUUAUUCUUAGUGCAACAAUUAAAGCUGGUGGGUGAUAAAGCACACCUCUUUUGACUGAGAGAUGUAUAGGUUCCCAAAUAAUAUGUAUAUGCUCCCCCCCCUCCCUUUAUUUUAUUUUAUUUCCAGUAAGUUAUUGUUUAUGAUAAUUUGCAACAAAUGUUUUUGUCAUUAUUUUGUUGGUGAAUGAUAAUAAGAUUAAGCUUUACUUUCUUAAGCUCCAAUUCCUUGGACGUUGGUGAUUUUUUUAUUAUAGUUGAGUCAUUGUAUGGUAUUAAUAUAAUUUAUGUCGCUUAAAAUUUAUAACUAAAAAUAUAAAAUUUAAAUUUUACUUCAAUUUAUUUGUAUUUAUAAAUGGUUAAUUCAAACUUAUUUUUUUCCUCAUUAUAUUUUAUAUUUAAAUUAACAUUUAAACUAUUUUUCAUUAGCAAUGUUGUUAAGAAUUAUAUUUUUUAGCACCAACAUCAAACUUACUAAAAUUAAAUUUUUAACUAUUUAAAAAAAAUAUUUUUAGCUAUUUAUCAUCAUAGAGAAAAAAAGGUGACGUCACCACGCCUCAUGCUUCGACACCACAAACUAGACUCUCAUCACCCGUAUUUAUCAUCGAUUCAAAUUCCAGAACUACCUAAAAAUAUAUCUUCAAACUUCCUCUGGUUAAGUUCAUUGAUAGUCAACUUACUAUCAUUUCUAAAAAAAAAACAAAUAAAUUGGUUAAUAGUAAUCUCAAUGAUUCAAUUUUAUUCUUACCAGUAUCUGUCCUUUAGAAAGGGGCUUAUAAAAGGGGUAGAGGUGAGUAAACUUGAGCUUCAGCUUUCCACAAACACCUUAAUUUGAAGACACAGUUCUCUCAUACUAAAAAAGACAUGGAAGUUUACCUUGUAAUUAGAGAUUUGGUUUCAUUGCUUGUUGUUGGGUUAUUAAUGAUAUGGGGAUGCAGAACUUUAAACUGGGUAUGGCUGGCCCCAAAAAGGCUCGAAAGCUGCUUGAGACAACAGGGUUUUGCAGGGAAUCCUUACAGGUUCCUUUCUGGUGACAUAAAAGAGCUCUCAACUAUGAGCAGACAAACAAGAGCCAAACCUAUGCCUCUUAGUGAUGAUAUUGGGCCUUAUGUUGUUCCUUUUCAACAUCAAACUGCUAACCAGUAUGGUAUGUUUUUUUUGUUUAAUCUGCAAUUUAUGAUAAUUCUUUGUUAUUUAUGUAUGGAAUUUAUUGGGAGGAAAUGCAGGAAAGAAUUCAUUUACGUGGUUUGGUCCAAGACCAAGGGUGAACAUUACGGACCCUGAAAAAAUAAGAGAAAUACUUAACAAAUUUAAUGACUUCCAGAAGAUACAUACCAAUCCACUGCUUAAUUUGCUUGUAAGCGGCCUUGCUAACCUCGACGGAGACCGAUGGAGCAAGCGUAGAAAAAUCAUAAACCCUGCAUUUCAUCAAGAUAAGUUGAAGGUAUAGAAUAGUGAUGGGUAAUCAGACUUUACAGAAAACAUCAUACUUAAACCUAUGCUUUUCUGAUUUAGAAAUAAUUGGAUGCAGAAUAUGUUGCCAGCAUUUUAUCAAAGUUGUAGUGACAUGUUAAGCAAAUGGGAGAAGAUGGUGUGUACAAAAGGAUACAGUGAGUUAGAUGUGUGGCCUUAUCUCGUAGAUUUGACAAGAGAUGUGAUUUCCCGAUCUGCUUUUGGAAGCAGCUUCGAAGAAGGCAAACGAAUUUUCCAAUUACUAGAGGACCAACUCGUUCACAUAAUCAAAUUAAUACAAACUGUUUACAUUCCAGGAUGGAGGUAACCGUCAACUUAAUUUACUUGAAAAAGGUUGCAAAUGUUGGAAUUCGCUAAAUUCGUGUUUGUUUUCUUGAAGGUUUUUGCCAACGAAGACAAACAGGGAGAUGAAGAUGAAACACAGGGACAUAAAAGAGUUGCUUAUGGAAAUGAUAAAGAGAAGGGAGAAGGCAAUUAAAGCAGGGGAAGAGAGCAAUGAGGACUUGUUGGACAUACUUGUGGAAUCCAAUAUCAGAGAAAUGGAAGCAAAGAAUAUUGGGAUGAGCAUUGAGGAUGUGAUUGAGGAAUGCAAGCUGUUUUACUUAGCUGGCCAAGAGACCACUUCGGUCUUACUGGUGUGGACUAUGGUUUUAUUAGCAAGGUAUCCCGAUUGGCAAAGUAAAGCAAGAGAGGAGGUUUUGCAUGUUUUGGGUGACAGUAAACCUGACGCUGAUGGCCUUAAUCGUCUCAAAGUUGUAAGUCCCUAGCAUGUCUUUUGAAGGUCCGAUCAAUGAGGUCGACAACUCAAAAACUUUGUUUCUUUUUUCGCUAAUUCUACAGGUAACAAUGAUAUUGUACGAGGUUCUAAGGCUGUACCCACCGGUGGUUGAGCUAGAACGUUCCGUUCCAAAAGAAAUAAAACUGGGGAAUUUGUUGUUACCAGUAGGAACAGAAGUUUCGGUUCCGAUCCUGCUGAUCCACCAUGACAAAGAUCUUUGGGGCGAUGACGCACGGGAAUUUAAGCCAGAGCGGUUCGCGGAAGGGGUUUCCAAAGCAACAAAGAGUCAAGUCACGUUUCUGCCAUUCGGAUGGGGUCCUAGGAUCUGUAUUGGCCAAAAUUUUGCUAUGAUGGAAGCCAAAAUGGCGAUGGCUAUGAUUCUCCAACGCUUCUGGUUCGAGCUUUCCCCUUCCUAUGCUCACUCUCCUUACGGCAGGGCAACUCUUCGUCCACAGCAUGGUGCACAGAUAAUUUUACAUAAACUUGGCUGUAAUUGAAUUGUUAUGUAAACAAAUCUUUGUGAAAACAUAGCGUUUUAGUUUAUCGUCAAAGUCCGGUGUCUGUAAUGGUACAAAUUCGAUGCAUGAAUAGUAAAGUUUGAGAUGUUUGGUGAAGUCCGAAAUAAUAUGCAGAAAUUGAGUGUGGUAAUUAUCAAUCAAAUAAUUCGGUACAAAGACUUACAUGGAAAUUAAAGCAGGGGGAGUUGAAAAUGACUACUCUGCUUUGGGCAUCAAUUUAGAAAGAUUUAAAGUACAAAUGUGUUAUUAGUUAAGGGAUUUGUUUUAAAGAGGGAAUGACAAUUAAACCUCAUGGUUGAUUUGUGGAAGGGAACCGAUGAUGGGAUGAUUAUUCUUAGUGGUAAAAAAAACUAUUGUGGAGGUUAUUAUACUUGUUAUCAUCGGCUUAAAAUUCGAAUGGGUUCAAGUCGGAUUAUAUCGAGCUUGUAAGAUGAGUUCACGGAUCAAAUUUGCAUAAUAAAAAUACUUAAAUGAAAAAAAUUUCUAUUUUAGAGGGACCAGAGCCCCUACCAAUUCCCGGCUCAGCUACUAAACAAUACCCAUAUCAUAUAAAUAAAUACCACCAUAAAAAAAACUCAAAGAAAAACACUGACAAAUGAUAAAUAGAUAGAUGUUGGAUAAGUGUCCAAAAUAUGAUUUAAGUGAAGAUACAUGGGGUAGGUGUCACGGAAAUGUGAAUACAAGAAUACUACUAAUGGGAUGUGUACAGUUGAAUGUAGGGAGCAAAAAGAGGAGUGAAUCAUUUUGGUAACAUUGGGACAAGAAACAUAAUGAACAAAAUGGAAGGAGAGGAAGCUAGUAAAAGAAAUUUUUUGGGUCAUAUAAUUUGUUUGGCAUAUAUUUUUAUAAUUUUUAAAUAUCAUUUUGGACUUGAAUUAUAAUUUUUUUAUAUAUUAUCUUAAAAUUGUAUAAAUUUUAAGGAGUUAAAACAAAAUUAUUCUAUUUUUAGAUGGUUAAAGUAGAGAUGAUAAUGGGUUGAGCUAUUCGGCCCAGCCUGACGAUCCACCCGAAAAAUAGGAAGGUUUGGGUAAAAAUAUAGGCUUGAAAUAUGAAUUUGAGCAAAAAAAGAGGCCCGUUUAGAAAAUGGGCCGAGCCUCGGGUAAAACCUUUUGGGUCUAGACCUGACCUAAAUUAUAUAUUAAAUAUAUAUAUUUUUAUUUUUAAUCAAAUAUACUUUUGUUUUAUUAUUAAUUUGGUUAUUAUUUUAGUUCUAAUUUGUUUCAAUUUUAAUAUAACUACUUUUUAUUAUAUUUUCAAUUUGUGCAUUGUUUUAAGAAUUAUUUUAGUCUCAUUAUUUAUUUAUUUUUUAUUUUAAUAUUUGUUUUAAAAUUUUUUAUUUAUUGAAAUAAGCUAAAAAAAUUAAUAUGGGUUGGACCAGACCGGGCUCGGGCCUAGUAAUUUUCUUUUGGGCCGGACUUAAACAAAUUUUUAAGCCCAUAUUUUGAAUUGGGUCCUACACUAGAAAAUGGACCUAAAAUUUUGUAUUACCUUUAGGUCAGAGCUAUCCUCGUUUUGCAUUUCUUUGAGAUUCAGCCUUAUUUACUUUUGAUUGCCCACUCAAUAGAGGGUUGAGUAGAAAUAUUUGGUGAAGCAAGCUAAGCUAUCAAUCAAGGUGUGCAUAAUUAUUUAAAUGUAAUUCUAAUAUUAAAAUAAAAUUUUUAUUAAUAUAGUAUCAACAAGCAUUAAAUGUAAUCAUCAUAUACUAUUAAAUUUUCAAUAAGAGAAAACAAGCUUGAACUUUAAAAACGAUGUUACUAAAAACAUUAUCACAAAUCUUGAAAUAUAAAAAAUACUUUUUAAUAUAAUAAAAAAAUAAUUUUAAAACCGAGAUGAAUAAAAUUCUAAUUUUAAUUAAUGAUACCAACAACAAAUCAAUAUUUAAAUUAAAAUUUAUCUUAAUUUAAUAUAAUAAAAUUGGACUUGAAUAUUGAAUUUUUGAGUCUUGGGCAAAGUAGAGGUGCUCAUGGGCCGGGUUGGGUCGGGUUUGGGAAAAAUUUCGGCCCGCAUCCUAGGCUCGGGCUCGGCCCGACCCAAAUAUGGGCCUAAAAUUUUGUCUAGGCCUAGCCCGGCCCGGCCCAACUCAUUUUUUUUAAUAAACACCAAAAAUUUAUUUUGAAAAUAAAAAAAUAAAAAAAGUAUUUUAAAAAUAUUUUAAAAUUUUUAAAAAAUAUAUAUAUUUAUUAUAUAUUCGGGCCGGGCCAGGCCCGAGCCAAAAAAGUGGCGCCCAAGGCCCGGCCUGUUUUCUAAACGGGACUCAUUUUUUACCCAAACCCAUAUUUCGGGCCUAUAUUUCUACCCGAAUCUCUCAUAUUUAGGGCGAACCGUCGGGCCGGACCGGGCCGCCCGGCCAUGAACACCUCUAGGACAAAGUCACUCAAUGAAUGCAUGGAAAGAAAUAAUGCAACUUGGUGAUAGCUUUUGUUGGAGUUAUAUGCUUUUUUUUUACGUAGUGGAACUUUCGGUGGAUUUUCAAGUUUCAUGAACUUUAUACUCUAUGCUUUACGUGAAAAAAAAAAUUCAUUGGACUUAAAAGUCUACCAAAAGUUUCACUAAAAAAAAAACCAUUGCUACAAGAUUACAACAUAAAGUUACAAUAAGAGCUUAUAACUCAACAAAGGCUAUCAAUAAAUAAUCUCAAACAAAUUAAAGAGAAAUGUUGAGAGUACCACUCGAAUAGUGAUUAACUUUAAAAAUUGAAAACCCAAAGUUAUAAUAUCCCAAACGAAAUCAAACCAUAAACAUUAAAUUUUUCGAGUCUACUAGAUACUGCAAAAAAUUCAGCUCCAACAGACACCAAAUGAACCUAUGAUCGAAGAAAAUACGAAAACUAGUCUAGCUAAAUCAAGCUGCCAAACUUACUUUUUAUCUUAUCUUUAAUUUGCUGUGAAAUUCAAAACUAAGGUUUUGUACUUAGAACAACUUUCAAAAAGUUAAUUUUGAAAAAUGGAUUGAAUUUUCAAAAUAGAUGAUAUUUUAUUGUGUUAAAAUUUUAUUCGUUGUUUGAAAAAAAAUUUAAAUCAUUUUCUUAGAAUUAUUUUUAGUGAAACAAACAUAUCAUAAAUAUAUUUGUUAUAAAAUAUUUAUAUUAAUAUUUUCUUUUAACAAUUAAAAUAUAUUUUGUGAUAAGGUAUAUUUUAUAAUAAUUAAUAUCAUAUAUACUUAAUAAUAAAUCAUGUCUAAUUAAAAUUUAAUUUCAAUUAAAUAUAUUAAUAAAGCUACAUAUAAUCAUAUUUUAUAUAAUAAAAAUAUUAAUAUAAAUAUUUUUUUAAUAAUAUAUUAAAGAAUAUUUAAAAUUUAAAUUUAUUAUUACUAAGAUUAAUUAUUAAAAUAAAAAUGUAAUGUUAAAUAAUUUAUCCAAUGAUAAGUUAUAUUAAUAAUUUAUUAUAUUAUUAAAUAUAAAUAAUUAAAUAUGUAUGUUUAAUAAUAUUAUGUUAUAAUAUUUAUUAUUAAUAUUUUAAUAUUUUUAAACAACCAUGUUUUAAAGAUGGUGGUGAUGGUGAUGGUGCAGGCCCCCUUGUUACAAUUACAAUAUUUUUAAGUGGGAUGCAUGUAAUAUAUUGUUAGGGUUUUAGAGUGUGUGGUCUUUAAAAGGGUUAAAUUAUAUAUUUAUAUAAUAUGAUUAUUGUUUAUAAAUAUAAUAUUGUAGAUAAACUUUUAUGCAUGUCAAUAUGUAUCCUACUCUGGGGUUAAUAUGUAUUUUUAGAUAUGGAUUCACCUAUAUAAUAGUAUGAAUCCAUCAUGCGGUCUCAUGAAAUAUACAAACACAUAUCGUGCGAACACAAAGUACGAACAAUAAAAAGUACAAAUCAAGACCAAUUGAGUAAUUGAAUAGCAGAUAGGUAAUAAUGACUAUCCCCUCUUGUUUGAAUUUAUUUUAUUUCCAGUGAGUUAUCGUUUAUGAUAAAUUUACAACAAAUGUUUUUAUCAUUAUUUUGUUGGUAAAUGAUAAUAAGAUUAAACUUUACUUUCUUAAGCUCCUUCAAUUCUUUGGACGUUAGCAAGUAAACUUGAGCUUCAGCAUUCCACAAACACCUUAAUUUGAAGACACAGUUCUCCCAUACUAAAAACAACAUGGACGUUUACCUUGUAAUUAGAGAUUUGGGCUCAUUGUUAGGUUAUUAAUGAUACGGGGAUGGAGAGCUUUAAACUGGGUAUGGCUGGCCCCAAAGAGGCUCGAAACGUGCUUGAGACUAGAGGUCCAGGCAAAUUUUUAGGCCCAUUUUUUAGGCCUGGACUGGGCCCGACUCGAAAUAUGAGCUUAAAAAUUUGUCUAAGUUCGGUCCAAAAGAAAAUUGUUAAGCCUAAGCCCGGCCCAUAUUAAAUUUUACAACACCAAAAAACUAUAUAUUUAAUAUAUAUAUUUGAUUAAAAAGUAUAUUUAAUUAAAAAUAAAAAUAUAUAUUUAAUAUAUAAUUCGGGCCGGGCCGAACUCGGGCCAAAAAAGUUUUACUCGGGGCUGGUCCGUUUUCUAAACAGACCUCGUUUUUUUGUCAAAAUCCAUAUUUUAGGCUUAUAUUUUUACCCGAAACUUCCUAUUUUUCGGGUGAACCGUCAGGCCGGACUAGGUAGCCCAACCAAUGAUCACCUCUACUUGAGACAACAGGGUUUUGCAGGGAAUUCUUACAGGUUCGUUUCUGGCGACAUAAAAGAGCUCUUCACUAUAAGCAUACAAACAAGAGCCAAACCUAUGCCUCUUAGUGAUGAUAUUGGGCCUUAUGUUGUUCCUUUUCAACAUCAAACCGUCAAUCAGUAUGGUAUGUUUUUUAAUUUAAUCUGCAAUUUAUGAUAAUUCUUUGCUAUUUAUGUAUGGAAUUUAUUGGGAGGAAAUGCUGGGAAGAAUUCAUUUACGUGGAUUGGUCCAAGAUCAAGGGUGAACAUUACGGACCCGGAAAAAUAAGAGAAAUACUUAACAAAUUUAAUGACUUCCAGAAGGUACGUACCAAUCCACUGCUUAAUUUGCUUGUAAGCGGCCUUGUUAACCUCGAAGGAGACCGAUGGAGCAAGCAUAGAAAAAUCAUAACCCUUCAUUUCAUCAAGAUAAGUUGAAGGUAUAGAAUAGUGAUGGGUACUUAGACUUAAUUUACAGAAAACAUCAUACUUAAAUCUAUGCUUUUCUGAUUUAGAAAUGAUUGGAUGCAGAAUAUGUUGCCAGCAUUUUAUCAAAGUUGUUGUGACAUGUUAAGCAAAUGGGAGAAGAUGGUGUGUACAGAAGGAUACAGUGAGUUAGAUGUGUGGCCUUAUCUUGUAGAUUUGACAAGAGAUGUGAUUUCCCGAUCUGCUUUUGGAAGCAGCUUCGAAGAAGGCAGACGAAUUUUCCAAUUACUAGAGGACCAACUCGUUCUCACAAUCAAAUUAAUACAAACUGUUUACAUUCCAGGAUGGAGGUAACCCUCAACUUAAUUUACUUGAAAAAGGUUGCAAAUGUUGGAAUUGGCUAAAUUCGUGUUUGUUUUCUUGAAGGUUUUUGCCAACAAAGACAAACAGGGAGAUGAAGAUGAAACACAGACAUAAAAGAGUCGCUUAGGGAAAUGAUAAAGAGAAGGGAGAAGGCAAUUAAAGCAGGGGAAGAGAGCAAUGAGGACUUGUUGGACAUACUUGUGGAAUCCAAUAUCAGAGAAAUGGAAGCAAAGAAAAAGGGGAUGAGCAUUGAGGAUGUGAUUGAGGAAUGCAAGCUGUUUUACUUUGCUGGCCAGGAGACCACUUCGGUCUUGCUGGUGUGGACUAUGGUUUUAUUAGCAAGGUAUCCCGAUUGGCAAAGUAAAGCAAGAGAGGAGGUUUUGCAUGUUUUGGGUGACAGUAAACCUGAUGCUGAUGGCCUUAAUCGUCUCAAAGUUGUAAGUCCCUAGCAUGUCUCUUGAAGGUCCGAUCUCUGAGGUCGACAACUCAAAAACUUGGUUUCUUUGUUUCGCUAAUUCUACAGUUAACAAUGAUAUUGUACGAGGUUCUAAGGCUGUACCCACCAGUGAUUGAGCUAGGACGUUCCGUUCCAAAAGAAAUAAAACUGGGAAAUUUGUUGUUACCAGCAGGAACAGACGUUUCGGUUCCAAUCCUGCAGAUCCACCAUGACAAAGAUCUUUAGGGCGACGACGCACGGGAAUUUAAGCCACAGCGGUUCACGGAAGGGGUUUCCUAAGCAACAAAGAGUCAAGUCACGUUUCUGCCAUUCGGAUGGGGUCCUAGGAUCUGCAUUGGCCAAAACUUUGCCAUGAUGGGAACCAAAAUGGCGAUGGCUAUGAUUCUCCAACGCUUCUGGUUCGAGCUUUCCUCUUCCUAUGCUUACUCUCCUUACAACAUGGCAACUCUUCGUCCACAGCAUGGUGCACAGAUAAUUUUACAAAAACUUGGCUGUAAUUGAAUUGUUAUGUAAACAAAUCUUUGUGAAAAUAUAGUGUUUUAGUGUAUCGUCAAAGUCUGCCUGUAAUGGUACAAUUCCGAUGCAUGAAUAGUAAAUCUUGAGAUGUUUGGUGAAGUCCGAAAUAAUAUGCAGAAAUUGAGUGUCUUGAAUGGAUGUAGUAUUUAAUGGUGGACAUAGUUGAGGGACUAAUGUGGUAAUUAUCAAACAAAUAAUUGCAUAUGGUACAAAGACUUGUAUGGAAAUUAGAGCAGGGCGAGUUGAAAAUUACUACUUUGCUUCGGGCAUCAAUUUAGAAAGAUUUAAAGUACAAAUGUAUUAUUAGUUUAAGGGAUUUGUUUUAAAGAAGGAAUGACAAUUAAACCUCAUGGUUGAUGUGUGGAAGGGAACCAAUGAUGGGAUGAUUACUCUUAGUGGUAAAAAAAAAAACUAUUAAGGUGGUUAUUAUAGUUGUUAUCACCGGCCCAAAAUUCGAAUAGGUUCAGGUCGGAUUAUAUUGAGCUUGUAGAUGAGUUUGCAUGAUAAUAGGUGUUCACAGAAAGAUAUCUAUAGUUUCCUACAAAGUCACAUGUGAGAUCGUGCAUUGGGACCGCAUAAAAAUGUUUUAUGUUUAGAAUAUGAUACGUGUCUAUGUGUAUGGAAUCUACCUAAUAUAUCAUAUUAAUUAAUAGUAUCAAUUGCGGAGCCAAAAAAUUAUUUCUGAGGGGUCAGAAUUAAAUUGUAUAUUUUUACAAAAAUAAAAAUUAAAUUUCACUAUUUUAAUAGUUUAUUUCUUUUUAAUUUUUAAAUGAUUAAAUUAAAUUUUUAUAAAUUUUUGGGAUCAAAGUACAAUUUUAUCAUUUCUAAUUUAAAAUUUUAUAAAAUAUAAAAAGUUUAUAUGAAAAGUUUUCUAUUUUAGAGUGGCCAAAGCCCCUGCCAACUUCCGACUCGAUCACUAAACAAUAUAAAUAAAUAAAUACCACCAUCUAAAAGACUCAAGAAAAACACUCAACGAUAAAUAGAUAGAUGUUGGGUAAAGAUACGUUUGGAUGGGCGGUGCGUUUACUUGCGGUUAGUAUAAAAAUAGCGGUGGCGGUUAGAUUAGAUACUAUAGCAACACUGUAGCGUAAGACAAAAAAUAAGCUAAACGUACUGCACUGCACUUAAUCGCCCAUCCAAACUCACCCUAAGUGUACAAAAUAUGAUUUAAGUGAAGAUACGUAGGGUAGGUGUCAUGGAAAUGUAAAAGACAAGAAUCCCACUAAUGUAUGGGAUGUGUACAGCUGAAUGUAGGGAGCAAAGAGGAGUGAAUCAUUUUGGUAACAUUUGGACAAGAAACAUAAUGAACAAAAUGAAAGGAGAGGAAGCUAGUAAAAGAUUUUUUUGAGUUAUAUAAUUUGUUUGGCAUAUAUUUUUAUAAUUUUUAAAUAUCAUUUUGGAGUUGAAUUAUAAUUUCUUUUUAUGUUUUAAAACAUAAUUAUUCUAUCUUCAAAGGGUUAGAGUAGAGGUGAGCAUGGGUCGGGCUACUCGGCCCGAAAUGUGAGAGAUUUGGGCAAAAAUAUAGGCUCAAAAAAUGGACUUGGACAAAAAAAUAUAAGACCCGUUGAAAAAUGGGCCGGGCAUUGGGUAAGGCAUUUUUGGCCCUGGGCCCGGCCCAAUCCUAAUUCACUAAAGGACAAAAAAAAUUUGAUUUUUAAAUAUUAUUUUCUUCCUAUUUUGCUACCAUUUUACUAUUAUGUUGCUACUAUUUUGUUGUUAUUUUUUGGAUAUUGUAUAAAACUUAUUUUAUUGUUAAUUUUGUUAUUAUUUUAAAGACAUUUGUUAAUUUUGUUAUUAUUUUAGAGACAUUUGCUUGUUAAGUUGUAUCUAUCUUAGUGUUAUUUAAGUGUACAUAUUUUUUAAAAUUUAUUUUCAAUUUAUUGGGAAAUAUUUAUUUUGAUGUUUUUAGUAUUUUGGAUGUAUUAUAUAUAUUAAAAUUAUAUAAAAAUUAAUAUGGCCGAGCCGAGUCAGGCCCAGAUUUUAGCAUUUUUAUUCAGGUCGGGCUUGAGCAAAAUUUUAAGCCCAUUUUUUGGGCCAAACCAGGCCUGGGCUUAGCAAAUGGGCCUAAAUUUUUAGUCAAGCCCGACCUAAACCCGAUCCGGCCCAUGCUCACCUCUAGAUCAGAGCUGCCCUCGCUUUGCAUUUCUUUGAGAUUCAGUCUUAUCUACUGUUGAUUGCCCACUCAAUGGAGGGUUGAGUAGAAAGAUUUGGUGAAGCAAGCUAAGCUAUCAAUCAAGGUUGGAGAAAGCUUAGGAGGUCACAAUGCAUAAUUAUUUAAAUGUAAUUCUAAUAUUUAAAUAAAAUUUAUUAAUAUAGUAUUAACAAGCCCUAAAUGUAAUGAGUAUAUACUAUUACAUUUUUAAGAAGAGAAAACAUGUUUGAACCUUAAAAACAUCAUUAUUAAAAAUGAUAAUUACAAAUUUUAAAAUAUAAAAAAUAUAAUUAAAAAUUAAUUUUAAACCCGAGCUGGAUAAAAUUCUAAUUUUAGAUAACGAUACUAAUAAGAAAUCAAUAUUAAAAUGAAAAUGAAAAGUAAUUUAAUAUAAUUUUUGAGUCUUGGGCAAAGGCACUCAAUGAAUGCUUGGAAAGAAAUAAUGCAACUUGGUGAUAGCUUUUGUUGGAGUAGUAUGCUCUUAUUAUAGUUUUAUGUUUUUAUCUUGCAAAAACAACAUAUUGGAGUUUUCGGCAUGAUUUUUUCUUAAUACUUUACAUGAAAAAUAAUAAUGGGACUUAAAAAUCUAUCAAAAGCUUCACCAUAAUAAUAAUAAUAAUAAUAAUAAUAAUAAAUUGCUACAAUAUUACAACACAAAGUUACAAUAAGAGCUUAUAACUCAACAAAGGUUAUCAAUAAAUAAUCUCAGGCAAGCUAAAGAGAAAUGUUGAGAAUACCACCCGAAUAGUGACUGACUUUAAAAGUUGAAAACCCGAAGCUAUAGUAUCUCAAACGAAAUCAAACCAUUAACAUUAAAAUUUUCAAGUCUACUAGCUACUGUAAAAAAUGCAGCUCCAACAUACACCAAAUGAGUCUUUGAUCGAAGAAAGUACAAAAACUAGUCUGGGUAAACCAAGCUGCCAAACUUACUUAUCUUAUCUUUAAUUUUGCAGUGAAAUUAAAAAUUAAGUUUUUGUUUAUUUCACUUGGAACAACUUUCAAAAAAUUAUUUUUGAAAAAUGGAUUGGUUUUUCGAAAUAGAUGAUAUUUUAUUGUGUUAAAAUUUUAUUCGUUGUUGGAAAACUUUUUUUAAAUCAUUUUCUUAAAGUUAUUUUUAGUGAAACAAACAUAACAUAAAUAUAUUUGUUACAAAAAAAUUAUAUUAGUAUUUUCUUUUGACAAUUAAAAUUUAUUUUAUGAUAAGACAAUAUUUUGUAAUAAUUAAUAUCAUAUAUAUAUACGUAAUAAAAAAAUCUUGUUUAAUUAAAAUUUAAUUAAAAUUAAAUAUAUUAAUAAAGCUACAUAUAAUCAUAUUUUUUAUAAUUAAAAUAUUAAUAUAAAUAUUUUUCAAUAAUAUAUUAAAAUAUUAAAAUUUAAAUUAUUAUUACUUAAAUUAAUUAUUAAAAUAAAAAAUUUAAUAUUAAAUAAUUUAUUCAAUGAUAAGUUUUAUUAAUAAUUUAUUGUAUUAUUAAAUAUAAUUAAUUAAAUAUGCAUAUUUAAUAAUAUUACGUUAUAAUAUUUUAAUAUUCUUAAACAGCCAUGUUUUUAAGAUGCUGGUGAUGGUGAUGCUGCGGGCCUCUCUUGUUACAAUUACUAUAAUUUUUUGUGCAAUAAUUGAAGUUGUUGGGUGGUCAAGCAAACCUCUUUUGACUGAGAUGCAUAUAAUAUACCCGCAUGUCCCCGCCUCCUAAAAUUUAAAUUUGUUAUUUGAAUCUUUAAAUUUUUUAAUAUAAUAUACCCGCAUGUCCCCGCCUCCUAAAAUUUAAAUUUGUUAUUUGAAUCUUUAAAUUUUUUAAAAAUUUUAAAUUCAUAAAAGUAAAAUUAUACUUUGACCCUCUAAAAUUAUAAAAAUUUAAUUAAUCUUUUAAAUUCAUUGGGCCCCUAAUAUAUUGUUCAGGCUUCACCCUUGAUACUGAUGUUGACUAUUUUAGAGUAUGUGUCUUCUUUAACAGGGUUAAAUUAUAUAUUUAUAUAAUAUAGUUAUUGUUUAUGGACGUGACAUCGUAACUAGGUUCUUAUGCAUGUCAACAUAUAUCCUAUUUUAAGGUUAACACGUAUUUUUAAAUGUGAAUUCACCUAUAUAAUGGUAUGAACCAUCAUGCAGUCUCAUAAAAUAUGCGAAUAUAUGUCGUGCGAACACAAAGUACAAUCCACACAGAAUACGAAUUAAGACCCAAUUGAAUAAUCGGAUACGAAUCAGUAAUAAUGAAUUUCAUAACAGCCACCAACCCCUCUUUUGUUUUAAUUUAUUUUAUUUCCAGUAAGUUAUUGUUUGUGAGAAUUCACAACAAAUGCUUUUGUCAUUAUUUUGUUGGUAAAUAAUAAUAAGAUUAAACUUUACUUUCUUAAGCUCCUUCAAUUCUUUGGAAGUUGGUGGUUUUUUAUUCUAAUCUUAUUUUUUUUAUUAAUUUCUUUUUUUAUAAUAAAUGUGUUUAUAGAUCAGGUUGGAUUAUAAUUGAAUCAUUGUCUGGUAUUAACAUAAUUUAAAUCGAUUAAAAUUUAUUCGACUGGAAAUAUAAAUUUAAAAUUUUACUUCAAUUUAUCUUAAUUUAUAAAUUGUGAAUUUAAAUUUAUUUAUUUUCUCUCAUUAUAUUCAGUUUUUCGGAUCAUAUUUGGCCCAGAACAAAAACUAGAACAAAAAAACAAAUAUAUAUGUUUUCCAAAAAUUAAAUUGUUAACUUUAAAAAAAUAUAUUUUUAGCUAUUUAUCAUCAUAGAGAAAAACAAAUAAGGUCACCUCGCCUUAUGCUUCAACACCUCAACCUAGAUUCUCAUCACCUGUAUUUAUCAUCGAUUCAGAUUUUUAUUUUUACUAUAUUCUAGAUCUACCUAUAAAUAUAUCUUCAAACUUCCUCUGGUUAAGUUCAUUCAUAGAUAGGUGAGUAAACUUGAGCUUCAGCUUCAACAAACACCUUAGUUUGCAAUUCUCUCAUACUAAAAAUAUGGAAGUUUACCAUGUAAUUAGAGAUUUGGUCUCAUUGCUUGUUGUUGGUUUAUUAAUGAUAUGGGGAUGGAGAGCUUUAAACUGGGUAUGGUUGGCCCCAAAGAGGCUCGAAAGGUGCUUGAGACAACAGGGUUUUGCAGGGAAUCCUUACAGGUUCCUUUCUGGUGACAUAAAAGAGCUCUUAACUAUGAGCAGACAAACAAGAGCCAAACCUAUGCCUCUUAGUGAUGAUAUUGGGCCUUAUGUUGCUCCUUUUCUUCAUCAAACUGUCAACCAGUAUGGUAUGUUUAAUUAUUAUUUAAUCUUCAAUUUAUGAUAAUUCUUUGUUAUUUAUGAAUGGAAUUUAUUGGGAGGAAAUGCAGGAAAGAAUUCAUUUACGUGGAUUGGUCCAAGACAAAGGGUGAACAUUAUGGACCCUGAAAAAAUAAGAGAAAUAUUUACCAAAUUUAAUGACUUCCAGAAGGUGCGUACCAAUCCACUGCUUACUUUGCUUGUAAGCGGCCUUGUUAACCUCGAAGGAGACCGAUGGAGCAAACAUAGAAAAAUCAUAAAC